UUUUGUUUUAUUUCAAGGGAAGGAAGGAUCACGUGAAUGCAUCGUGGACAGCUUCUCCUUUCGCAGGAGCAGCAUGUGAAAUGCGAUACCUCUUGCCGACGCGCUCUUUUUUCUUCUUCUUUUGGUAUGAUAACACAACCGCGAAACACCCGUCUGGCUUUUUCCAAACGCUCUUUGGGAACACCAACCACACACACACACAAAAGAAACCGUUAUCGCCCUCGCAAGAUGCAUUUUCGACUGGUGGUAUACGCUGUCUGCCACGUACGAGCUUCCAGCAGUGAGUGUGCCACGUAAGAGCCAAGUGAUAUUUACUCCGUAUCUCGUCGGAUGACCAUUGCUGAGCCAAAGGCGUACGGCAGUUACUGCAGCUGGACAUCGAUGGACGUAGAUGUUAUGGUCAAUCUGAGUCACGGUAGUGCAUUUUCCCUGUUUCAGUGUUGGUUUUGUAAAUUCUGUUGUAGCUACGAAAACGAACAGGGAAACAGCACUCAGAAAGGACAAGGUGUAGCAGAACAUCUCCGGACAUCUAUUUACCAUGACGACCUACAGUAAAAUGAGACAACUCGUCAUGGAUUUCAAUAUUUAUUGGUAUGAGGACGGCGACAUUUUCCUUGGAGUUGAUGAUCCUGGGUAACGUCCCGCAUGCCGCACACAUCAUCACCCGAUUGGGACCAGGAAUCGCCAGCGUUGGCUGGCUGUUCGACAUCGGACCAGUGAUCGCCAGUCAUUUCGUCGUCGGUGGUGGCAGGUAGUUCUCCGGAACCCAAGUCCUUCUACGACUUCCAGAAGGUUGCAACAGUCGGUCCAACGUGUCCGAAGAAUCAUCGUCGUCAUCAUUGCAUCAGUGUACAAGUAAGCAUCAUGUCUUCGUCGAUCUUGCAUAAACUUGACAAGCUAAAGAAAUGUGGAGAGUUUCAAAAAAUGGCGACAAUUCCUAAAAACAUCAAGUAUGAUGUGGUUGAUGUUAACAAAAUUGAAACGAGGUAUGGCGAGGCGGUCUACGUAGAAUUCUUGCGUAAACCGAACCUCAAACAAUUCAGGGCUCUAAGCUCUAACGUAGUCUUGUUUCAGUUCGCUCAAUCGAUAGUCCGUAUGCGACAGCCUCUGUACCUGGGGUUCACUAUUCUCGAGCUGUCUAAAGUCAUGAUGUACGACUUUUAUUAUAACAACUUGCUUCGGGUAGCCCCGGACACAAGGCUCUUGUAUAUGGACACAGAUUCUUAUAUCGUGAUGCUGAGCGCUGAGAAGGCCCUUGCGGAGCUCGCCGAUACCCACCUUGAUACAUCUGGUCAUUCUUGUGAUGACUCGAUGUAUUCUACGAAAAACAAGAUGGUGCUAGGAAAAUUUAAGAACGAAAUGCCCCACGACCACAUCCUAGGGUUCUGUUGCCUGAAACCAAAGCUCUAUGCACUAGACCUCCAUAGUAAAAGACGAUACAAUCGUGCUAAGGGGGUGAAACAAUGUGAAGCCCAGAAGUUGCAUUAUUCAAUGUACAUAGACUCUCUUAAGCUUGGUGAAGUGUACAAAGUUUGUCAGAACCUCAUUGUGCGCAAGGAAAAUAUAAAUAAAAGUGUAUGUGUUACGAAAGUAGCUUUAAAUCCCCUAGACACAAAGCGUUUCAUUUGUGAGGAUGGUAUCCACACGUUACCCUUUGGGUACGCAUCCAAUGGAAAGAUGUAGACAGUUUUUAUGCAUAUGUUGCCCUACCUGGCUGUUGUUGUUGUAAUGCUGUUUUUUUUAUAUAUAUAUAAGAUUGUGCCUGUAACGACAUGGAAAUAAAUACAAUUUUAUUGUGUCAAAGUACACUGCAACAUGA